rnacentral:lncRNA from 1 species
GGUAACUGCCCCCCAAAAGCCUGGGCGGCUUGAGAAGGGCCGGCGGCAGCACCCGAGUCACCAGAACAGCGGCUGCGUCCGAACCGGGAAGCGGCGUGGUGGGUUGGCGGAGGCCGGGCCAAGUGAGCUUGCUCUCUAGCCUCCGGACCAGGAACCCGACGCUCUCCGUCCGGGGCCAGACCGGCCCCCCAAGUAAGGGGCGGCUCCCAGGUCCCCGAGGUGAGAAGCCAGAGCGGGAAGCUGGCCGAGAGGCCCCGUCUACGCGCCUUCCGGGUGGAAAAGGCGCUCGCUGGAACCUGCAGCUCCAGUGGCAAAGCCCAGCUCAGGGCCCGCUCGGCCGCGCGGCUUCACUCCUGCCCCGGCCGAGCGGAGGUUGUGCAGGCCCCUCUGGGGGGAGCGGGGAGGUCCUCGGCCCCGGCGGCCAGCCCGCCGC